rnacentral:rRNA from 1 species
GACAGAGGGUGCAAACGUUGUUCGGAAUUACUGGGCGUAAAGCGCGUGUAGGCGGCAAGGCAAGUCGGAUGUGAAAGCCCACGGCUCAACCGUGGAAGUGCACCCGAAACUGCCUAGCUAGAGUCUCGGAGAGGAAGGUGGAAUGCUUGGUGUAGAGGUGAAAUUCGUAGAUAUCAAGCGGAACACCGGUGGCGAAGGCGGCCUUCUGGACAGUGACUGACGCUGAGACGCGAAAGCGUGGGGAGCAAACAGG